rnacentral:lncRNA from 1 species
CUGCCUUCGACUGUUCUCAGAUCAUUAUUAACCAUCCAUUUCAGAGGUUUGAGGAAUUUAAAACUGCGUAAGCAUUUUCAAGAAUAAACCAACUUUUUAGACAACUAUGAUAAAUUUAACGUGUUUCUAAUUUAUCUUCUUUUUUUAUUGACAAUUAUUGUGUAACUAAGGUUGUGAUGUCUCACAGGCAUGCUAUGUAGAUGAUAUCUUAAUCUGCAUCAAUACUCCUAGAUCGUUAAUUUGUGAUCUAUGUCCAAGUUUACAAAAUAUUCUUCUUAUAUAAUGAUUUUAAGUGUUGUGUUUCUUAUAAUCAAGUGAGAAAUAAUGAGAUUCACAAGUGGUAUACUAAAUCUUACUAACUAUUCUUUGUUUUUCUUUCUUAACUACAGAUUCAAGACCUAAAAUAAAGAGUUAUCUAAUCCUAACUAUAGAUCUAAUGAUUUUAAUGUUUUUGCUAAUCUCAUUGUCAUCUUUCCCCUAGGUUUUACUAAUAGUAGUGCAAACCAUUAACGCUACAAUGUCCACUUUGAUCUACAGCAUCAUCUACAAGUAGAAAAAGGGGUAUUGUUGAGGCAACUAAGCACACAAGCAAGAAGCAUUGGACUAAGUAAUGAAGGAUAAGAACAUUUAGGAUGAGAAGACUAAUGAGAAGGAAAUUAAAUAUGAGAAUACCAAGGAGAAAAGGGAUAACUACUCCUAAAUUUGUUGUUUCUUUUGAGUUUUAAGUUGCUCUCGCAAAUUCUAUCGUUUUUAUGAUAUACUUAUCUUCUCUAUUGCCUUUGUGUUGUUUUAAUUUAGAUAGCAUUUUUAUGCUUACUAAAUAAAGUGUCUAACUC